GGGAAUAAUUAUCACAGACUCCAAAGCAUACGAUUUUGUUAAAUAAAAGAGCUCCACUUCCAAGCAAAUUCAGAAACGAGAACCAAAAUUCUGAAAAAAUGAAAGAAAUUAAAAUGCUGAAGAUUGGAUUAUAGAGUAUGGUGAUUAUCCUCUGGGUAAGUCUACUGAGACUAUCAAAAAGGAAAUAAAUGAAGUUUCUUCUAUGCUUUGAUUAUAUAGAAUUGAAACAAGAAGCAGUUUUUACAAGGUAAUUUUUUCAGGUUAAAAUAAAUAAAUGUUACUAUAUAUAUAAUAUUUUAUCAGAACUUUAUUCAGUAAGAAUCCCUUGUACGUUAUCCACAAAAUGAAGUGUCAAUGGAUAGACAAAUACCUAUGAAGACUCAACUGUCAACUCUACAAUUACUUGGAAGUGGACAAAGAUUUGUCUAAUGCUCUUACAACACUAACUAGAAAUCCUUUUUCUUGCUGUAAUAAAUGAUAAACAUUUCCA